GAAAUGCGAUAAGUAAUGUGAAUUGCAGAAUUCAGUGAAUCAUCGAAUCUUUGAACGCACAUUGCGCCCCCUGGUAUUCCGGGGGGCAUGCCUGUUCGAGCGUCAUUUCAACCCUCAAGCUCUGCUUGGUAUUGGGCGUCGCAGGAGCCUGUCUCCGGCGUGCCUCAAAGCCAUCGGCGGUGGUGCCUUUCUCUAAGCGUGGUAGAAUUUUUAUUCGCUUCUGAGUUGGGUCUCACCCGCCGGAUAAACCGGGCCUCGCGCCCACUUUCUCAGGUUGACCUCGGAUCAGGUAGGGAUACCCGCUGAACUUAA
rnacentral:misc_RNA from 1 species